CCUCCCGCACUCGCGCUUCCCCCGCGCCUCUCUCCCUCCCGCCCCGCCUCUCUCUCUCCCUCCAAACCCUAACCCGCGCCGGCCUCCCUGCCCCGCCGCCGUCAUCUCCUUCGCCUCCCGGAGCUCAGCCCGAGUUUGGUGGCGCGGGGUUCCUGGCGGUCUUCCUCCCGCUGCUCUGGGUGGCGUGCCGCCUCCGCCGCCGGCAGGAGGGGGCCGCGGUGGCCGCUGGAUAGCCCGGCUACCAGCAGCUCGUGCCGCCCAGCUCGUGGGUCACCUCCCUCCUCCUCCCCAUCGGGACUGGGCAGGAGGAUGAGCGCUGUCGCGCCGCCGCCGCACACCCCUGUCGUCGCGCCGCCGCUGUCCCUGAUGGUGCAGCCACCCUCCAUGGACGAGGACGACCACCACAGCGACGACGGCGCCCCUCACAUGGUCGAGCUCGACGGAAGAGCGCUCGCCAUGGCCGCGUUCGUCUGCUCUGGCGUGGUGCAGCCGAGCUUGGCCAACGACGAGGUCGUGUACCUCCGCCUCGACGAGCUCCUAGCGCGGGGGAUGUAUUUCUAAUGUGUAGGUGAACCGGUUUACAAUGCAGAGAUUGCGACAAGAAAUAACGAAGAACAACGUGUGUAUGUGUGCCAAUUACCAUGGAUAAUGCUCAAUUCUUCUGUUUCUAAAUGGCCCUUCACACUACAGGAAAGUGACAAUCAGUAAAAGUUAAGGUCAGACUUUGGAGAAGGGCAUUAGAGGAUUUGAGUAGAAGCUGGCGAGCGGUGUCCACAGAUUGUACAGCGACCAAGCGGCGAUGAAGAAUCAAUGUGUGGAUCUAUCAUUACCAUAUGGACUAGGCCUCUGCUUCUGGUUAUUACAAGCUAGGUAGUAUUGUGGGAGUGAUCGGAAACUUCUACACGACUCAUCACCAUCAUGUCCAUGCCCCAGAAUUGGGUGAGUGCUCAAGGAAGAAUUUUGUAGUUCCACUGUUGGAUUCCAAGCAGGCAAUUCAUGAUCAGCCUUGCGCAAGCUAAAGAGUGAUUGACAGGUGGAGUGACUGCUGGGGUCAUAAACGAAGAAACAAUGAAGUCACUGGACAGCAAAACAGAUUAUUUAUUCCCAAUGUCGUUGCUCUUGCAAAAUUGCAGGCCUAUUGGUUAUGUGGUGGUUAUGUUGGUUUUAUCUUCCGGUUGGUUGUUAGUCCCCUACAAGAGUUGUCACAAUAUGAAAAGGCUCCAAAAGGUGUCACGGUCAGGAAUCUUUUUCCAGGCAUCCGGUGAUGAUUAGGUAACCAAACCAUAUCUCACAGGAUGUGUGUUUAUGUGGUCUGGCAAAGUAAUGCUCUUCUUUUGUGGUAUGUGGAAAGUAAUGCUCUCUUUGUUAUUCAUUUUUGGAGCCGUUAAAUAUUUUUUCCCUCAUAAUAGUUUUAGAUGUUAUGCCUUAGCAUAUUAUAUCAACGAGAAGUGAAUGUGUUUUAGCUCGUAUCUUCUAAAUUAGUGUCUUCCACCGAUAUCAGAAAUUAAUGCUUCAUAUCAUGUUUUGUAUUUCUGUUAUAUCGUGUACUUCUUCAAAAUUUGUAUCUCAACCUAGCCUUCUUAGUGAUAAUUUUAGUGGAAGACAUUAGAAUUCUUUUCGAGUAUGAGGACUGUUAUUUAUUAACAAGUAUUUAUCACAUUUAACAGAAAUUAGUCUCCUUAUUAACAUAAAUACACUGAUCCUAUUCUACCACUAUGAUUUAGUUCAUGUGCUGUAGGCAUCACCGUCAUUGCAAUUCCUAAAGAUGUGGAAUUCUCAUACUAAUGCCGCUAAUAUAUUUUCUCAAGAGGUCUCAAAUUGAAAGCUAGGCAUACUCUUCUUGAUAAAUCGUGUUUUAUAACCAGAUCAACAAAGUUUUUGUAUUUCAUGAUUAAGAGAUGAAGUCAUGUUUGCCAAUGUCACCCAUAAAUACACUAAUUAUUUUCCAUCCUAAGCUCAUUUCCAUGUCUGCUCUGGAAUAUUUUCCUACAGAGAAGAGGGCCACAGUACCAAUUGGGCAGACUUUGUCAAGGCGGCAGGAAUAAAAGAAUAACAUAUACUCAUAAGGAUCUUCGCCUUCAAGAUUGUAAGGGGAAAUUAUUGCUCACUGUCCUGUCCCUACGCUUUAGAAGGAAAUCACAAGUGUAUUUUCUAUACAAAACCAUCAUGUGGUCAUCUAUAUUACGAACUAUUCACACCAGAUUCAUAUGGAAUGGCACUCAUGGCGGUAGUUGAACCAGAGCUAUCUAUCAGUACGCCUAACUAUGGCUUCGUAGUUUUAGCGCAUCCACUGCCACUAUGUUGGAUUUUGCUCUCUAAUAUUUCUACUUGUACUACUGAACUUAAUUUCAACUAAUUAGCUUUUGUAAUAUCAUGGCUGCAUUGAACUUGAUGUUGCCUUACUUCUGCGGCCGGUUAGUUUUUAUAAUCUCAUGACUUUGUUGAA